GCAAUUUAUUUACUGUAAAUGCAUGCUGCAGACUGAACUGAUUUAUGUGCAGCCAUGCAUCUAGGUUUGCCACACGGGGGAGAAAAAGCCACUUACUUUUCAGCAGCUUAGCUGCUCCCUCCUCCCAAUUCCCCAGCUCAGCUCGUGUGAUGAUGACGAUUUCAUUGUGUGGGCCGCGUCAGCGUGACUAAAGCUUAGAUGCGAGUGCAGCUGUGCAGACUGCAGGGGGAGCCGAGUGUGUUGUGUGUGCGGCUGCUGGCUCAGUUGGACUGCUAGGCACAGUGUCGCACAGAGCAGCGCCCCCAAUCUCUGUCCCGCCCCACAUGGUUAUGAAGUCUCGAACACCAAGGGCGGGGUUUAGUAAAAGGGGACGUCCACGUGAUAACGAGGCGGAGAUAACCGAGUUGCUGCUCUUUUCAGACAGAACUAAUUGAUCUGGAAUCGUGACAGAGUGCAGGCACAACUCACCCUUGGGAUUCACACUGAUGGGUAGGCUCCUCCCGAACUGGAACAGGCAUCCACAGCGAUAAAUCCUUUUAUCCAAGGACAGGCAGCUUGCUUUAUCUUGAGGGUAUUGCUCCCAGCACUGUCUAUAGCGCGAGCACUCAGUUAUCUUCAUCUGCAGAACUACAGCUUCCAGCACUAUCCAUAGCGCAAGCACAAAUAUGUCCAGCAAAACUCCAAACCUGCACGGUUGAGCUUUCCAGGCUUUUGGAGUAGCCUGCAUCAGCCCACAGGGCUAUCGAACUCCCUUUUAGCCCUUUACAUCUUUUAAUGAGUUCUGGUCACCUUCCUCUGUGAAAGUAGGAAUCCUCCAGCAGUAAUGACUGCGAGCACAAGGCAAUCUCCUUUUAUAUAGCACAGCAGCGACUCCUUGUGGCUGCUUUUGGGAUCAGCCAUGCUGCACCAAUCAGGAAACCCUGUAUACACCAUGAGGCUCCAUAUGAAAAGGGGAACUUACACCUCAUGGUCCAUACAUUUUUGUAUGUCUGUGUAUAAAAUGAAGGUCUGACAGACUGUCUGUGAGUUAUAGAGACUAUAAUGAACUUGUGUAUAGCUGUGUAACUACAUUCAUUAAUAAAUCUUAUAGUACAGGUUGUCUGUGGGUUUUGCCUACAAUCAUUCUCUCCACAAAGCACAUUAACCCCUACAGUUCCUUGCCCCACUGCUCCAUUGUAUCCCUCACCUAUCCAAGUCCUCACUCUAUUCACUCUCCUCUUUUACUCUUUCCCUUCUCAUUCUGCUGAGUUACCCACC